rnacentral:rRNA from 1 species
UUCACAGCCAUGUCACCCUGCAGCCCAAGACAGGUUACUCACUGAAGCUAAGCAUGGCUGAGUCUGGUCAGUACCUGAAUAGGAGACCAGAUUUGAAAACUAGGUUGCUGUUGGAA